GGCGCGGGAUUGUGCCAGCAGCCGCGGUAAUACGGAAGGUCCAGGCGUUAUCCGGAUUUAUUGGGUUUAAAGGGAGCGUAGGCUGGAGAUUAAGUGUGUUGUGAAAUGUAGACGCUCAACGUCUGAAUUGCAGCGCAUACUGGUUUCCUUGAGUACGCACAACGUUGGCGGAAUUCGUCGUGUAGCGGUGAAAUGCUUAGAUAUGACGAAGAACUCCGAUUGCGAAGGCAGCUGACGGGAGCGCAACUGACGCUUAAGCUCGAAGGUGCGGGUAUCAAACAGGAUUAGAUACCCUGGUAGUCCGCACAGUAAACGAUGGAUGCCCGCUGUUGGUACCUGGUAUCAGCGGCUAAGCGAAAGCAUUAAGCAUCCCACCUGGGGAGUACGCCGGCAACGGUGAAACUCAAAGGAAUUGACGG
rnacentral:rRNA from 1 species